GUCGAUGCUAAAUCACCAACUCACCCAAGCGACUGCUCUAUCGUGUCCCUUCACGCUUUACUUUUCUCUUAUUUCAGCUCUUGCUGUUACCAACGCUCAAAGGAGGCAGUUCAACUUUCAGCCCCCUCCACCACGACAUCGCUUCAGCGUCGAAGCAUCCGGUGGGGGUCGGAACCAUCGCAACUUCAAUGUUGGUGGCACUGUGCGCGGAGAGUACGACCUGUAUCGGGGCAAGGAUGGCACUCGAGUGGUCGCUUCCGGUUCAGUAGCACACGGUGCCACCCGCAUCGACGGCAAGACCUACAAAGGCAGGCCUCAAGGCGAAGUGGGCAUCGGCAUCGAGAUUCCCAUUGGAAAGGGUCGAUGAGCCUCGUGCCGCCCGCAUGGACGUUUGGACGACAAGCUUUAUCGAAUAAAUAUAUAGUGUGUUCAUUUUGCCACUCAU